AUUUGUCUGGACAUGUUCAGGACGAUUUACUGACUUGAAUGUCAUGACACGUUCAGGCAACGCU
rnacentral:pre_miRNA from 1 species